rnacentral:rRNA from 1 species
CAGGCCUAACACAUGCAAGUCGAACGGCAGCACAGAGGAGCUUGCUCCUUGGGUGGCGAGUGGCGGACGGGUGAGGAAUACAUCGGAAUCUACUCUGUCGUGGGGGAUAACGUAGGGAAACUUACGCUAAUACCGCAUACGACCUACGGGUGAAAGCAGGGGAUCUUCGGACCUUGCGCGAUUGAAUGAGCCGAUGUCGGAUUAGCUAGUUGGCGGGGUAAAGGCCCACCAAGGCGACGAUCCGUAGCUGGUCUGAGAGGAUGAUCAGCCACACUGGAACUGAGACACGGUCCAGACUCCUACGGGAGGCAGCAGUGGGGAAUAUUGGACAAUGGGCGCAAGCCUGAUCCAGCCAUACCGCGUGGGUGAAGAAGGCCUUCGGGUUGUAAAGCCCUUUUGUUGGGAAAGAAAUCCAGCCGGCUAAUACCUGGUUGGGAUGACGGUACCCAAAGAAUAAGCACCGGCUAACUUCGUGCCAGCAGCCGCGGUAAUACGAAGGGUGCAAGCGUUACUCGGAAUUACUGGGCGUAAAGCGUGCGUAGGUGGUUAUUUAAGUCCGUUGUGAAAGCCCUGGGCUCAACCUGGGAACUGCAGUGGAUACUGGAUGACUAGAAUGUGGUAGAGGGUAGCGGAAUUCCUGGUGUAGCAGUGAAAUGCGUAGAGAUCAGGAGGAACAUCCAUGGCGAAGGCAGCUACCUGGACCAACAUUGACACUGAGGCACGAAAGCGUGGGGAGCAAACAGGAUUAGA